rnacentral:rRNA from 1 species
GAUGAACGCUAGCGGCAGGCCUAAUACAUGCAAGUCGAACGGUAAGGCCCUUUCGGGGGUACACGAGUGGCGGACGGGUGCGUAACGCGUAUGCAACAUGCCUUCCAGCGGGGGAUAUACCAGGGAAACUUGGCGCAAUACCCCAUAGAAUUACGGGACCGCAUGGUCUUGUGAUUAAAAACUCCGGUGCUGGGAGAUUGGCAUGCGUGACAUUAGCUAGUUGGCGGGGUAACGGCCCACCAAGGCGACGAUGUCUAGCUGGUCUGAGAGGAUGAUCAGCCACACUGGGACUGAGACACGGCCCAGACUCCUACGGGAGGCAGCAGUAGGGAAUAUUGGACAAUGGGGGAACCCGUAGAUCCAGCCAUGCCGCGUGAGGGAAGAAGGUCCUCUGGAUUGUAAACCU